CCCUUAGAUGUUCUGGGCCGCACGCGCGCUACACUGAUGCAGUCAACAAGUUUAUUUCCUGAGCGGAAAAGUUUGGGUAAUCUUUUGAAACUGCAUCGUGCUGGGGCUUGACGAUUGCAAUUAUUUGUCACAAACGAGGAAUUCCUAGUAAACGCAAGUCAUCAUCUUGCAUUGAUUACGUCCCUGCCCUUUGUACACACCGCCCGUCGCUCCUACCGAUUGAAUGUUCCGGUGAACACUUUGGAAUAGUUCUUAUGUGAGGGGAAACUCUUUGCUUGGAUACUGUGAAGUUGUGUAAACCUUAACAUUUAGAGGAAGGAGAAGUCGUAACA
rnacentral:rRNA from 1 species